CAGGGAAUGGUUUAAAAUUAGAAUUUCAGCUUUGGGUGUUGAUGGUAGAAUGAGGCAUUCUUUCCCUGA
rnacentral:tRNA from 1 species